rnacentral:rRNA from 1 species
AAGCAAUGCUUAGUACGGCGAGUGAGCGGCACAGCUCAAAUUUGAAAUCUGGCGUCUUCGGCGUCCGAGUUGUAAUUUGCAGAGGGCGCUUUGGCAUCGGCAGCGGUCCAAGUUCCUUGGAACAGGACGUCACAGAGGGUGAGAAUCCCGUACGUGGUCGCUAGCCUUUACCGUGUAAAGCCCCUUCGACGAGUCGAGUUGUUUGGGAAUGCAGCUCUAAAUGGGAGGUAAAUUUCUUCUAAAGCUAAAUACUGGCCAGAGACCGAUAGCGCACAAGUAGAGUGAUCGAAAGAUGAAAAGCACUUUGGAAAGAGAGUUAAAAAGCACGUGAAAUUGUUGAAAGGGAAGCGCUUGCAGCCAGACUUGCCUGUAGUUGCUCAUCCGGGUUUCUACCCGGUGCACUCUUCUAUAGGCAGGCCAGCAUCAGUUUGGGCGGUUGGAUAAAGGUCUCUGUCAUGUACCUCUCUUCGGGGAGAACUUAUAGGGGAGACGACAUGCAACCAGCCUGGACUGAGGUCCGCGCAUCUGCUAGGAUGCUGGCGUAAUGGCUGUAAGCGGCCCGUCUUGAAACCACGGACCA